rnacentral:rRNA from 1 species
UCCCUUGAUCCUGCCGGACCUAGACUGCUAUCGGAUUAGGUACUAAGCCAUGCGAGUCAGGUAGCAAUACUAGGCGGACGGCUCAGUAACACGUAGUCAACCUAACUCGUGGACGUGGAUAACCUCGGGAAACUGAGAAUAAACCACGAUAGAUCAUAGUGCCUGGAAUGGCUUAUGGUCCAAUACAGUUUACUGCCAUGGGAUGGGACUGCGGCAUAUCAGCUUGUUGGUGAGGUAAUGGCCCACCAAGGCGAUUACAGGUACGGGCUCUGAGAGGAGAAGCCCGGAGAUGGGUACUGAGACACGGACCCAGGCCCUGUGGGGCGCAGAAGGCGAGAAACCUUUAGCAAUGUGCGAAAGCACGACUGGCUCAGUCCGAGUGAUUCCUGAUAAAGGAGUCUUUUGCCUGUCCUAAAAGCACAGGUGAAUAAGGGGUGGGCAAGUCUUGUGUGAGCCGCCGCGGUAAAUACCAGCACCUCGAGUGGUCAGGACGUUUAUUGGGCCUAAAGCAUCCGUAGCCGGCUCUGCAAGUCUUCGGUUACAAUCCACCUGCUCAACAGAUGGGCCGCUGGAGUUACUACAGAGCUAGGGAGUGGGAGAGGCAGACGGUAUUCAGUGGGUAGGGGUAAAAUCCUCUGAUCCAUUGAGGACCACCAGUGGCGAAGGCGGUCUGCCAGCACACGUUCGACGGUGAGGGAUGAAAGCUGGGGGAGCAAACCGGAUUAGAUACCCGGGUAGUCCCCGCUGUAAACGAUGCAAACUCGGUGAUGCAUUGGCUUAGGCCAAUGCAGUGCCGCAGGGAAGCCGUUAAGUUUGCCGCCUGGGAAGUACGGACGCAAGUCUGAAACUUAAAGGAAUUGGCGGGGGAGCACCACAAGGGGUGAAGCCUGCGGUUCAAUUGGAUUCAACGCCGG